rnacentral:tRNA from 2 species
UAAAUGAAAGCCAAAGAAGAGGCGCCUAUCUGUUAAUUAGGAGAAUGUAGGAAAGCUACUCGUUUAG